UACGGAGGGUGCAAGCGUUAAUCGGAAUUACUGGGCGUAAAGGGUGCGUAGGUGGUUAUGUAAGUUAGCUGUGAAAUUCCUGGGCUUAACCGAGGGAGGUCAGCUAAGACUGCAAGACUAGAGUAUGGGAGAGGGUAGUGGAAUUUCCGGUGUAGCGGUGAAAUGCGUAGAUAUCGGAAGGAACACCGGUGGCGAAGGCGGCUACCUGGCCUGAUACUGACACUGAGGCACGAAAGCGUGGGGAGCAAACAGG
rnacentral:rRNA from 1 species